GUGGGGAAUAUUGCACAAUGGGCGCAAGCCUGAUGCAGCGACGCCGCGUGAGGGAUGACGGCCUUCGGGUUGUAAACCUCUUUCAGCAGGGACGAAGCGCAAGUGACGGUACCUGCAGAAGAAGCACCGGCCAACUACGUGCCAGCAGCCGCGGUAAUACGUAGGGUGCAAGCGUUGUCCGGAAUUACUGGGCGUAAAGAGCUCGUAGGCGGUUUGUCGCGUCGUCUGUGAAAACCAGCAGCUCAACUGUUGGCUUGCAGGCGAUACGGGCAGACUUGAGUAUUUCAGGGGAGACUGGAAUUCCUGGUGUAGCGGUGAAAUGCGCAGAUAUCAGGAGGAACACCGGUGGCGAAGGCGGGUCUCUGGGAAAUAACUGACGCUGAGGAGCGAAAGCGUGGGUAGCGAACAGGAUUAGAAACCCCAGUAGUCC
rnacentral:rRNA from 1 species